CCAAGACGCCAAGAUGCAGCCAAGAUGUGCAAGUAGCUCAAGCCAAGCAAGGUCGAAGCCAGGUCGCCAGCCAGGUCGGCCAGGUUGACCACGUGACCGCAUGUCAACGGACCCUCAAAGCCCGAUUCUGUUUCAUCGGACCGCUCUGCCGCUCUCUCGGCGUGGAGGAAACGUAAACAAAGUGACAUAUGAAGAUGCAAAGUUCAAAGAAAAUAAAUCCGGAAGCGACGUCCGACCUAUCAACGAAUAAUGAAGAGCGGGAGAAAAGAAAAAGGAAGAGACUGCUCCUUUUCCGUCAAGCUUGCCUCUUCUGCAGGAACGACCUAGCACUCAGCCAGCCCCUCAACUUCCAGAACGUGCACCAGUGCCCAAGCAAAAACGCACACGUGAGCAGCGUGCCUCUUCCCAGGAGUGACUGAGGGGCUGCCACAAGGGGAGAAGGCAAGCAUGUUUCUGAUUACAAGAAUGGACAGUUGGGCUGGGCUAGUUGGUAAGAAUUGAUGUUGAAAAACGGUGCAAAAACCAGACAAAGAGAAAAGAAGACACAGCACCUUGU